UUCAGUGAUCAUUUUGCUAAUAUAGCUACAAUGAAGCACACAAUGUUCUAUGUUCCUGUCCUCCUGGUAUUCGUAGGCUUGGUCCAAGCCCAAGAUCCAACAACAACAGCAGCUCCAACAACAACAACAACAAC